rnacentral:rRNA from 2 species
UGGGGAAUAUUGGGCAAUGGGGGAAACCCUGACCCAGCAACGCCGCGUGAAGGAAGAAGGUCUUCGGAUUGUAAACUUUUGUCGUGAGGGACGAUAAUGACGGUACCUCGCGAGGAAGCCACGGCUAACUACGUGCCAGCAGCCGCGGUAAUACGUAGGUGGCAAGCGUUGUCCGGAUUUACUGGGUGUAAAGGGUGCGCAGGCGGGUAAACAAGUCGGGUGUGAAAAAUCGAGGCUCAACCUCGAUCCUGCACUCGAAACUGUAGAUCUUGAGUGGUGGAGAGGUAAGUGGAAUUCCCAGUGUAGCGGUGGAAUGCGUAGAUAUUGGGAGGAACACCAGUGGCGAAGGCGACUUACUGGACACUAACUGACGCUGAGGCACGAAAGCGUGGGGAGCAAACAGG